CCUACGGGUGUCAGCAGUGGGGAAUAUUGGGCAAUGGGCGAAAGCCUGAUCCAGCAACGCCGCGUGAAGGAAGAAGGCCUUCGGGUUGUAAACUUCUUGUCAGCGGGAAGAGCAGAAGACGGUACCUCUUGAAUAAGCCACGGCGAACUACGUGCCAGCAGCCGCGGAAAUACGUAGGUGGCAAGCGUUGUCCGGCUUGCAUGGGUGUAAAGGGCGGGCAGCCGGGAAGACAAGUCAGAGGUGAAAACCCGCGGCCCAAACGGGUAACUGCAUUUGAACCUGUAUUUCUUGAGUACCGGAGAGGUCAUCGGAAUUCCUUGUGUAGCGGUGAAAUGCGUAGAUAUAAGGAAGAAAACCAGUGGCGAAGGCGGAUGACUGGACGGCAACUGACGGUGAGGCGCGAAAGCGUGGGGAGCAAACAGGAUUAGAUACCCGGGUAGUC
rnacentral:rRNA from 1 species